AACUGAUACUACCUGCGGGAACCUGCGGAGGGAUCAUUAUCGAGUUUACAACUCCCAAACCAUUGUGAAUCUUACCUUUUCGUUGCUUCGGCGGGAUCGCCCCGGGCGCUUCGGUGCCCCGGAUUCAGGCGCCCGCCGGGGGACCUAAACUCUUGUAUUAUAGUGGAUUUCUGAGUGGAUUACACAAAUAAUCAAAACUUUUAGCAAUGGAUCUCU
rnacentral:misc_RNA from 1 species